UACGUAGGUGGCAAGCGGUGUCCGGAAUUAUUGGGCGUAAAGCGCGCGCAGGCGGUUAUGUAAGUCUGAUGUUAAAGCCCGAGGCUCAACCCCGGUUCGCAUUGGAAACUGUGUAACUUGAGUGCAGAAGAGGAAAGUGGUAUUCCACGUGUAGCGGUGAAAUGCGUAGAGAUGUGGAGGAACACCAGUGGCGAAGGCGACUUUCUGGUCUGUAACUGACGCUGAGGCGCGAAAGCGUGGGGAGCAAACAGG
rnacentral:rRNA from 1 species